rnacentral:rRNA from 1 species
UACAGAGGUGGCAAGCGUUGUUCGGAAUUACUGGGCGUAAAGGGCGCGUAGGCGGCCCACUAAGUCAGACGUGAAAUCCCCAGGCUUAACCUGGGAACUGCAUCCGAUACUGGAUGGCUUGAAUCCGGGAGAGGGAUGCGGAAUUCCAGGUGUAGCGGUGAAAUGCGUAGAUAUCUGGAGGAACACCGGUGGCGAAGGCGGCAUCCUGGACCGGCAUUGACGCUGAGGAGCGAAAGCCAGGGGGAGCAAAACGGG